GAUGAAGAACGUAGCGAAAUGCGAUAAGUAGUGUGAAUUGCAGAAUUCAGUGAAUCAUCGAAUCUUUGAACGCACAUUGCGCCCCUUGGUAUUCCAUGGGGCAUGCCUGUUCAAGCGUCAUUUGUACCUUCAAGCUUUGCUUGGUGUUGGGUGUUUGUCUCGCCUUUGCGUGUAGACUCGCCUUAAAAUAAUUGGCAGCCGGCGUAUUGAUUUCGGAGCGCAGUACAUCUCGCGCUUUGCACUCAUAACGACAGCGUCCAAAAGUACAUUUUACACUCUUGACCUCGGAUCAGGUAGGGAUACCCGCUGAACUUAAGCAUAUCAAUAAGCGGAGGA
rnacentral:misc_RNA from 1 species